rnacentral:rRNA from 1 species
AGCGAACGCUGGCGGCAGGCUUAACACAUGCAAGUCGAACGCAUCACUUCGGUGGUGAGUGGCAGACGGGUGAGUAACACGUGGGAACGUACCCUUCGAUCUGGGAUAACUUCGGGAAACUGGAGCUAAUACCGGAUACGCCCUUUUGGGGAAAGGUUUACUGUCGAAGGAUCGGCCCGCGUCUGAUUAGCUAGUUGGUGGGGUAACGGCCUACCAAGGCGACGAUCAGUAGCUGGUCUGAGAGGAUGAUCAGCCACACCGGGACUGAGACACGGCCCAGACUCCUACGGGAGGCAGCAGUGGGGAAUAUUGGACAAUGGGCGCAAGCCUGAUCCAGCCAUGCCGCGUGAGUGAUGAAGGCCUUAGGGUUGUAAAGCUCUUUUGUCCGGGACGAUAAUGACGGUACCGGAAGAAUAAGCCCCGGCUAACUUCGUG